rnacentral:tRNA from 1 species
UCCCUCUUAGCUCAGUUGGUAGAGCGCGUCACUAGUAUACGUAGCAAAGAUUUUUCUGAUGACGAGGUUAGUCGUUCAAGUCGGCUAGAGGGAA